CCUGCCCCUAGAUGUUUUGCAGAUAUGGCUGCUGUGUCACUUGUGAGUCAGUAGGUGGCAGAGAGGAGAGUAGUUUUGUCUAUACUCAGUGUUAAGGCUUGUGAGCAGCUGAAUGAUUCUUAGCCUAAGAUU
ensembl:snoRNA Gm23340 small nucleolar RNA SNORA17